rnacentral:rRNA from 1 species
AAGAGACAGCAGCAGCCGCGGGAAUACAGAGGGUGCGAGCGUUAAUCGGAUUUACUGGGCGUAAAGCGUGCGUAGGCGGCUUUUUAAGUCGGAUGUGAAAUCCCUGAGCUUAACUUAGGAAUUGCAUUCGAUACUGGGAAGCUAGAGUAUGGGAGAGGAUGGUAGAAUUCCAGGUGUAGCGGUGAAAUGCGUAGAGAUCUGGAGGAAUACCGAUGGCGAAGGCAGCCAUCUGGCCUAAUACUGACGCUGAGGUACGAAAGCAUGGGGAGCAAACAGGAUUAGAUACCCGUGUAGUCCCUGUCUCUUAUAC